AGCAAUUGCAGCAGGCAGGCAAUCGAAGAGUGAGAGCAUCUGGGUCCCCCCCCCCCCGGCAUUCCUCAGCCUCAACCAGUACAGCUUUAGCCUUCUUCGAUGUGGGAGAGACGAUAAAGUACAUUUUAGAAUCAAAUUCAUUCCACCAUGGCCUUUUUCCAGUUCUCGGCUUUUUGAUAUUUUGUUAAGGUUUCCUUUUCAGCUUAACUAUGCCGCGAAAAGUUAGUUAUGGAAUCGAUUGUGUCGAUGACCAUGAUGACUAUGACUAUGAAAUCGGAUAUGAUGUAGAAGAAAAUGUGAAAGAACCUUAUGAGCAAGAUACUAUCAGACAUGGUAGAGUCUCUGGUUUAUAGCUC